AUUACAGAAUACAUGUUUUAACGUAUUUAAAUAUAACUUUUUUCGAAUUAAAUAACUAAAAUUGGGGGUAAAUCUAUAUUUUACAGCUUUUGAAAAAAUUAUGUUUUAAUGAAAAUUUCUAUAACUCGAAGUCGCUCUAACUCGAAGUUUUUUUGUGGAUUAUGGUGAUUCGAGUUAGAGAAGUUCCACUGUAGCUAUUUGUGCAAAAUUCUAAAAUUUAAUUAAGUAUUAUUUAACUUUUGAAUGAAAUGUUUUCGAUUUAUUAAUAUGAAAUUGGCCCCCGUUUUUGUUUUUCAAAAGUUUUAGCCAAUUUGCCAUAGAAUUGGCCAACUUUUACAGUACUGAAAGAUUUAUAUUCGCCCAUUAUCAUUAGUGGCUUGUUUUAGCUGUUUUGAGCUGUCAUACUGCUUUGCUCAGCUAAAAAAUGUUGCGAAAAGUAUGUCCAAUAAAUACUCUAUUGAAUUCACUGUCCAGAAAAUCCAUAUAUAUUUUGCUUUCACACGAUUCGGACAAGGCAAAUGGGUGACUUCCAAUUGGCGCUAAGAGCAGCCCAUUAGAGAUCCACCGCCAUGUUUGCUCUUAUAGUAAGUAUGGCGAAGGUGCCGUAAAUCCCUCCAAUACUUAUGAUCCAUCUAAAAUUAAUGUUUUCUAAUCACAAAAUAUCAAAUUUACUCUACCAGUCGUAACGCCUUACACAGUAAAUAAUUUUUACGUGAGAUAAAAAUGCUAUACAAACAUUUCUGGAACAAACGUUUUGGGAAGUGAAUUAACGUACUUCAAAUUGUUAUGGUAAUUGUUCAGGAACGAAUCAAGAUUAUUUUUAAUGGAAGUUUUGAAGAUUUUAACUUGUGAAAUUAAUGAAGACUGAGAUGAUUUGUGGUUUUUGUGAAAUAAGUGUUUAAUAUCACCUAUUUUUUUACGUUUUUUGUGCGAUCCCCCUUUAGUAUUAUUUUAUAUUGUCUUUAGCAGAGUCUUAAAGCAAUAAAAGUGUUAAAGUUAGGUGUGGAAAUUUGCAGAUGUAUUUGCAAUCGUCAAAAUACUAAUGCACUAUGAAUUCACUAUUUUUACCUUCAAACUCAUUAUAACGAGCUAUGAAAGGUAGGAAAGAAGGUUAUAUGUAUCGACGUUAUUUCAAUCUGUGUACGAUUUAAUAGAGGAGACGUUAUACGUUUUUGUUCUAAUUAUAAUGGCUGUGGAAAUUAACUGCAUUAAUUUGAUAAUUUACUUGUUUCCUACAUGAUUUUUUAUAUGUUAUUAUUCUUUUAGGUGGAGUUUGGGGGUUGAAUGGGGGAAACUAUAACGAAAAAUCAUGUGAAGCUUUUUUCUCGCUUUCUUAAAUAUUUUUACAAGCCUUAGAAAAUUUUGAUGCUCCGACCAAGACCAUGAGGAAUAUUUUUUCGCAUCAUUGCCAUAUAAGUACAAUUACCAUAUAUUUAAAAUAUUUUUCUAAAUUUUUUAUUUGCGACAAUCUUGCAACUAUGCGAGACUAUUUUACUGACAUUUGACGCAAAUCACAACCAUCUGCUGAUUCAAUGCGCGAGUUAGCGAUGCUGAAGAUAGCCUAAGUAAAUUUCACACUUAACCUAAACAAACAAUAAAAAUUCCUGCAUUAUUAACACAACAGACAGAAUCCCAUAACGAAAAACUGAUAAGCAUAGCAAAACUAUAUUUGUUCUAGCAAGAUAAUGGAUAUCGAAUUACAACAAAGAAGUUGCAUGCAGAUAACAGCAGCCGCAUUCCAUUAGUAUAAAAGGCACUAAGAUUAUAAAAUGUAGUCAGUAAGAAAUUAAGAAUAAAUUAAUAAAAAAGGCAACACGAAAAUAAGUGUACUGCUCAAAUAAAUAUAAUCUCUUUUACUCACGACAAACAACAGUACGUUAACUGGGGGCUCAAACCGGUCUUUAAGCCAUCUCUAUCCAUUGAGGAAAAGGAUAGAAAAAAUUCCACGGGAAGUAGGACUUCCAUCACUAGAUCUUUGAAAAAGAUAAAACAGUCAAGCAACGUUAUACCAACGGACAUCACAACACGCUGGAAUCUCAUCAAAAGAGACAAAAGCCGUUCAAUUUGCGCCGUCCCUUAUUAAACACCGACGUCAAGAUGACAACACAAGAAAUCGCAAGCUAGAGAGCACAAAUCGCUGCUCUGACCACAACGCUCACUGAAACUCAACAAAGGUUGAAUUCGUUCGAAACCUACGCAACACCUAACGUCACAGUCACAAACCAAUACAAGGACUACCUCCAAAUAAUCAAUUUCGCUGAAACCCUCAAAAAAGAGAACGAAAUCCUUCAUCAGCAGAAAUUUUUAAGUGUAAACCAGACAUGCAAUGAAGAACUACAAUCGCUUACACCAGAAUACGAGAACGAUGAUUACGAAACAGGCAGCGCUUUUUUAAGUCGCAUGAACGAUUUGCCGUGUCUGUAACACCACUGCAGGGAUACAGGCAAACUUAUUAACAUCCUGAUUGACACUGGAGCAACAAACAAUUAUAUAAGUACAAAAUGUAACUUAGGUAAUGCUAUUCAAAUUAAACCUGUAAAAGUGAAAA